UUUGGAUAAAAUUGGGUGGGAGCUUCUGAGUUCUGACCCAGACACAAGACUCGAUGAAGAUGAGUUGUUUGAACGGGACAACCAUCUCACUCUCAUGCCUCAAACUCGCUUUCCCUUCUUACUCUUCUUCCUUCCAGAACCUUCCAUUUCGCCGUACCAUCAAGCCUCUCUCCGCCGCCCUCCAAACAUCUCCCGCCACUUCACCAUCAACCACCAAGGCCGAGGACCAAGGUGCGAGGUCUCACUGGAAGGCCGCAAUAGACUUCAAGUGGAUAAAGGAUAACAAGGAAGCCGUUGCUGCCAACAUUCGCAACCGUAACUCCGAUGCUGAUUUGGAACUCGUCCUUCAACUCUAUGACCACUUCUUUAAUCUUCAGAAGGAAGUUGAGAGAGUGCGCGGAGAAAGAAAUGCGGUAGCAAACAAGAUGAAAGGGAAAAUGGAACAAUCUCAGCGUCAAAGACUAAUUGAGGAAGGAAAGAAUUUGAAGGAAGGACUCAUUGCUUUGGAAGAAGACCUGCUCAAGCUUAACGACAAACUUCAACUCGAAGCGCAGCGUAUACCAAACAUGACUCAUCCAAAUGUUCCAAUAGGUGGAGAGGAUAGUUCUAUGACAAGGAAGCUGGUUGGCAGCGCUCCAGAAUUUAGUUUCCCUGUCAAGGAUCAUCUUGAACUAGGAAAGGAACUUUGCCUUUUCGAUUUCGACACAGCUGCAGAGGUCAGUGGGUCAAAGUUCUACUACUUGAAAAAUGAUGCAGUUUUGUUAGAGAUGGCCCUUGUGAAUUGGACACUUUCAGAAGUGAUGAAGAGAGGCUUUACUCCAUUAACAACGCCUGAACUUGUACGGUCCUCUGUUGUUGAAAAAUGUGGCUUCCAACCUCGUGGAAACAAUACAGAGGUUUAUUCCAUAGAAGAUAGUGACCAAUGCCUCAUCGGCACUGCAGAGAUACCUGUUGGGGGUCUUCAUAUGGAUUCUAUACUUGCUGAAACUUUGUUACCCCUGAAAUAUGUAGCAUUUUCUCAUUGCUUCCGUACUGAGGCUGGUGCCGCUGGCAGUGCAACAAGGGGUCUUUAUCGAGUUCACCAGUUCAGCAAGGUUGAAAUGUUUAUUUUCUGCCGCCCAGAAGAGAGUGAACAUUAUCAUGAAGAGCUUAUUAAAAUUGAAGAAGACAUGUUCUCAUCCCUUGGGUUACAUUUUAAAACUUUAGAUAUGGCUUCCGAAGAUUUAGGUGCACCUGCUUACCGUAAAUUUGAUGUGGAGGCAUGGAUGCCUGGCUUAGAACGGUUUGGCGAGAUUUCAAGUGCAUCAAAUUGCACAGACUAUCAGAGUCGUAGGUUGGGAAUCCGGUAUCGCCCGUCGGAAGCACCGGUUGCAAGCCCAAAAAAGUCUAAAGGCAAUCUGGCUCCACCACUGUUUGUUCACACGCUAAAUGCAACAGCUUGUGCAGUGCCACGGAUGAUAAUAUGCUUGCUUGAGAAUUACCAGCAAGAAGAUGGAUCCAUCCUUAUCCCUGAGCCUUUGAGGCCCUUCAUGGGUGGGCGCAGUGUUAUCUCUAGAAGAUUGUGAUACAAGGGAUCGCAGCCUUUCCAUCAUUUGAAGGACUUUUGCUGUUGCGGCUUUAGAUUGUGGUGGUAGAUGAGUUCAAUCAACUUUAUCUAUGGAAGUUGGCAAAAAUUAAGUGGUCUUGAAGAGUUGAGGUUAAGAAGUGUUUUCAGAAGGUUGGAUCAUUUACAUUAUAGCCUUAAGCCUUUGGACAGAGGGAUCCUGAAGAAUUGGAAAGGAGCAGGCAAAAAUCAUGCAUAUAUUAAUAAGUAAUAUAGAAAGGAAGGAGUAGAAGAAUACUCUCUGAAAAUUAACUUACUAUUAAACUUAAAAAAUAAAAAAAAUAAAAAAUAAAAUAUCUUAAAUACUCUCUGAAAAUUAACUUACUAUUAAACUUGAAAAAAAAAUCUUAAAUUAUAAACUUAAAUCUGAACUAUUGAUAUAAAAUAUAAUAUACAACAAAAUUUUAUUUCAUUAGGUGUGAUCGGUAACAUAGAUCAAUCAAACGGCAUCAUUAAAUCUGAUAUAAAGUAUAAAUAGAGUUAAAGAUCUGUUUAAUUAACAAGGAGGAUAGUAUAAAAUAAUUUUGUACAUAUUGUGAUAAGGAUGACAAAGUGGAUGUUCAUUUAUGAUGGGCGGUCUAAUAUUUUCAAUAAUAAAUGAAUUAAAUGAGAGUUUGAAAACAUAAAAUUUUUAUAUGUAUAAAUAGAAGACAAAUUCUCAAGGAAUAUACACACACAAAAG